GUAACGGAGGAGCACGAAGGUUAGCUAAUCCUGGUCGGACAUCAGGAGGUUAGUGCAAUGGCAUAAGCUAGCUUGACUGCGAGCGUGACGGCGCGAGCAGGUGCGAAAGCAGGUCAUAGUGAUCCGGUGGUUCUGAAUGGAAGGGCCAUCGCUCAACGGAUAAAAGGUACUCCGGGGAUAACAGGCUGAUACCGCCCAAGAGUUCAUAUCGACGGCGGUGUUUGGCACCUCGAUGUCGGCUCAUCACAUCCUGGGGCUGAAGUAGGUCCCAAGGGUAUGGCUGUUCGCCAUUUAAAGUGGUACGCGAGCUGGGUUUAGAACGUCGUGAGACAGUUCGGUCCCUAUCUGCCGUGGGCGCUGGAGAAUUGAGGGGGGCUGCUCCUAGUACGAGAGGACCGGAGUGGACGCAUCACUGGUGUUCGGGUUGUCAUGCCAAUGGCACUGCCCGGUAGCUAAAUGCGGAAGAGAUAAGUGCUGAAAGCAUCUAAGCACGAAACUUGCCCCGAGAUGAGUUCUCCCUGAGACUUUAAGUCUCCUGAAGGAACGUUAAAGACGAUGACGUUGAUAGGCCGGGUGUGUAAGCGCAGCGAUGCGUUGAGCUAACCGGUACUAAUGAACCGUGAGGCUUAACCUU
rnacentral:rRNA from 2 species